rnacentral:rRNA from 1 species
CCUACGGGCUGCACCAGUGGGGAAUAUUGCACAAUGGGCGCAAGCCUGAUGCAGCCAUGCCGCGUGUAUGAAGAAGGCCUUCGGGUUGUAAAGUACUUUCAGCGGGGAGGAAGGCGAUAAGGUUAAUAACCUUGUCGAUUGACGUUACCCGCAGAAGAAGCACCGGCUAACUCCGUGCCUGCAGCCGCGGUAAUACGGAGGGUGCAAGCGUUAAUCGGAAUUACUGGGCGUAAAGCGCACGCAGGCGGUCUGUCAAGUCGGAUGUGAAAUCCCCGGGCUCAACCUGGGAACUGCAUUCGAAACUGGCAGGCUGGAGUCUUGUAGAGGGGGGUAGAAUUCCAGGUGUAGCGGUGGAAUGCGUAGAGAUCUGGAGGAAUACCGGUGGCGAAGGCGGCCCCUGGACAAAGACUGACGCUCAGGUGCGAAAGCGUGGGGAGCAAACAGGAUUAGAUACCCGGGUAGUC